UGCUGCUCCGCCCAGGGAGGUAGGAGGCGGUGGGCUCACUGGUCAGUCAAUUUUCAGCUGACACCACGCCUUGAGGCCCAUGGGAUCUUUCUGUGCCCCAGCGAGGACUUCGCCGCCUUACUAGAUUGUAAGCCCAUCCUUGUUCACCCGGUGGGAUCCAAAAUCGGAUCCGAAGGAGGAGUCCGAAGAUCCCAGCCGGAGCCUGAAGCUCCUCCUCCACCAGGCAUGGAACCAGAAGACAGCUAAAGGCCGUCUUGAAGACAGGAUUUCUAGGGUUCCGGCCCUGGGUCGCACACAGCCCCUUCUCCCACACCUCUCCUUACCCGCCCCCCUCUUCUGCCACCGCUGCUGCAGCCCCUGCCGCCAACACUGUUUUUUAAAGGGGCCACAGCCUGAUUCCUAGGAGCCGAGAACGAGUCGGCCUAACCAAUGCGCAUGCGUGAGGCGAGCGGAUCUCGCGUCACAGUGACCCCCACCAUCGCCCGGAGGAUGGGUCCCUGAGGCUAGGCCAAGCAGGAGCCCUGCGUGGCAGUGCGUGGGUGUCGAGGCUCCGGCCUUACCUCUCCAGGGGAUCCACAGGAUGGUCUCCGGAAGCCAGGAGUUGCGGAGGGCCGACUGGGAUGAAGAAACCUUAGGCAGAGGAGUCCCGGGGAAGCAGCGCGCCAUCCCAGCCUCAGGCCUGUUCGGAAGGUGUGGGGCUCUCCUUUCCUUUCCACCAUGAUUGGAAGUUCCCUGAGGCUCUCACCAGAAGCAGAUGCUAGCGCCACGAUUUUUGUACAGCCUGCGGAACUAUAAGUCAAAUAAACCUCUCUUUGUUAUAAAUUA